AGCGGUCUUGAAUAUUUCUGUAUAUUAGGUGUAGAAAAACAAUAUUAAAGACAGGAAGUGCAUAACAGAUCCAGUGGUGUAGUUGGUAAACAGGCAAAGCGCCCUCUGGAGUCAUUUUUAACAAGAUGGACGCGGGUUCGAAUCCGGCACAUACAGCAGACAUAUGCUUCCCAGUAACAGCGUCCAGUCAGACUCUCUCUACACAGAACCUGAUGACACUCAAAUCUCUCUGGAUGAUCAGGAUAGGGCUGCUUGUCUGUCACACGUGUCACCUUUCUGUUCCUCUCAGACAGAGACAGAUCAAACUCAUCCAGCACCUCGUCUGAUAUCUGAAGCAUGUAGGCAAGUGUUGAGCAUUGAGACGGAGAGAGUUGAUUGU